GCAGUCGAGGGGUAGAGCAUUUCGGUGCUUGAGACCGGCGCACGGGUGCGUAACGCGUAUGCAAUCUACCUUUUACAGGGGGAUAGCCCAGAGAAAUUUGGAUUAAUACCCCAUAGUAUAGUGAGUUGGCAUCAACCUACUAUUAAAGUCACAACGGUAAAAGAUGAGCAUGCGUCCCAUUAGCUAGUUGGUAAGGUAACGGCUUACCAAGGCAACGAUGGGUAGGGGUCCUGAGAGGGAGAUCCCCCACACUGGUACUGAGACACGGACCAGACUCCUACGGGAGGCAGCAGUGAGGAAUAUUGGACAAUGGGCGCAAGCCUGAUCCAGCCAUGCCGCGUGCAGGAUGACGGUCCUAUGGAUUGUAAACUGCUUUUGUACGAGAAGAAACACUCCUACGUGUAGGAGCUUGACGGUAUCGUAAGAAUAAGGAUCGGCUAACUCCGUGCCAGCAGCCGCGGUAAUACGGAGGAUCCAAGCGUUAUCCGGAAUCAUUGGGUUUAAAGGGUCCGUAGGCGGUCUUGUAAGUCAGUGGUGAAAGCCCAUCGCUCAACGGUGGAACGGCCAUUGAUACUGCAGGACUUGAAUUAUUAGGAAGUAACUAGAAUAUGUAGUGUAGCGGUGAAAUGCUUAGAGAUUACAUGGAAUACCAAUUGCGAAGGCAGGUUACUACUAAUGGAUUGACGCUGAUGGACGAAAGCGUGGGUAGCGAAC
rnacentral:rRNA from 1 species